rnacentral:snoRNA from 1 species
CAUGCUGUGAUGAGGUGAGCACCAUAUGGUGUUAUAGGGAGUGGAAGUGAGGUUUUAUAGCCUUCUCCGUGAGCCCAUUUUAAUUAAUGACUUCUCCUUCCACCGAGCAUU